CUACACACGUGCUACAAUGGGUAGAACAGAGAGUUGCAAAGCCGUGAGGUGGAGCUAAUCUCAGAAAACUAUUCUUAGUUCGGAUUGUACUCUGCAACUCGAGUACAUGAAGUUGGAAUCGCUAGUAAUCGCGAAUCAGCAAUGUCGCGGUGAAUACGUUCUCGGGUCUUGUACACACCGCCCGUCACACCACGAGAGUUGGUUGCACCUGAAGUAGCAGGCCUAACCGUAAGGAGGGAUGCUCCGAGGGUGUGAUUAGCGAUUGGGGUGAAGUCGUAACAAGGUAUCCGUACGGGAACGU
rnacentral:rRNA from 1 species